AGAAGGAAGGGCCGGGCACGAGGGCAUGGCCGUGUGCUGGGACCACAGGGAGAUCUGCUGAAGCUCAUCAGUGACAGGACCUAGUAACUCCAGAAGGGCCAAGAGUCUUCACCAAGAGGUGACGGCACUCACCAUGAUAAACGGCAAAAAACGAGAGGCCUACGUAUCCUGGUGAGCUGGCAUCGUAGACAUGCACCCGGCUACCCAUGGACAGCAAGGCCC
rnacentral:lncRNA from 1 species